UACGGAGGUGGCAAGCGUUGCUCGGAAUCACUGGGCGUAAAGGGCGCGUAGGCGGGGAGGUAAGUCGGGUGUGAAAUCCCUCGGCCCAACCGAGGAACUGCGCCCGAGACUGCUUCUCUUGAGUCCCGGAGAGGAAGGUGGAAUUCCCGGUGUAGCGGUGAAAUGUGUAGAGAUCGGGAGGAACACCGGUGGCGAAGGCGGCCUUCUGGACGGUGACUGACGCUGAGGCGCGAAAGCGUGGGGAGCAAACAGG
rnacentral:rRNA from 1 species